CUGGAUCCUCACGGCAGCCCACUGCUUCAGGAAACAUACCGAUGUGUUCAACUGGAAGGUGCAGGCCGGCUCAGACAAACUGGGCAGCUUCCCAUCCCUGGCUGUGGCCAAGAUCAUCAUCAUUGAAUUCAACCCCAUGUACCCCAAAGACAAUGACAUCGCCCUCAUGAAGCUGCAGUUCCCACUCACUUUCUCAGGCGCAGUCAGGCCCAUCUGUCUGCCCUUCUUUGAUGAGGAGCUCACUCCAGCCACCCCACUCUGGAUCAUUGGAUGGGGCUUUACGAAGCAGAAUGGAGGGUGACAGUGGUGGGCCCCUGAUGUACCAAUCUGACCAGUGGCAGGUGGUGGGCAUCGUUAGCUGGGGCUAUGGCUGCGGGGGCCCGAGCACCCCAGGAGUGUACACCAAGGUCUCAGCCUAUCUCAACUGGAUCUACAAUGUCUGGAAGGCUGAGCUGUAAUGCUGCUGCCCCUUUGCAGUGCUGGGAGCCGCUUCCUUCCUGCCGUGCCCACCUGGGGAUCCCCCAAAGUCAGACACAGAGCAAGAGUCCCCUUGGGUAUACCCCUCUGCCCACAGCCUCAGCAUUUCUUGGAGCAGCAAAGGGCCUCAAUUCCUGUAAGAGACCCUCGCAGCCCAGAGGCGCCCAGAGGAAGUCAGCAGCCCUGGCUCAGCCACGCUUGGUGCUCCCAGCAUCCCAGAGAG
rnacentral:sRNA from 1 species